AUUGAACGCUGGCGGCAGGCCUAACACAUGCAAGUCGAGCGGAUGAAGGGAGCUUGCUCCUGGAUUCAGCGGCGGACGGGUGAGUAAUGCCUAGGAAUCUGCCUGGUAGUGGGGGAUAACGUCUGGAAACGGGCGCUAAUACCGCAUACGUCCUGAGGGAGAAAGUGGGGGAUCUUCGGACCUCACGCUAUCAGAUGAGCCUAGGUCGGAUUAGCUAGUUGGUGGGGUAAAGGCCUACCAAGGCGACGAUCCGUAACUGGUCUGAGAGGAUGAUCAGUCACACUGGAACUGAGACACGGUCCAGACUCCUACGGGAGGCAGCAGUGGGGAAUAUUGGACAAUGUGCGAAAGCCUGAUCCAGCCAUGCCGCGUGUGUGAAGAAGGUCUUCGGAUUGUAAAGCACUUUAAGUUGGGAGGAAGGGCAGUACGUUAAUACCUUGCUGUUUUGACGUUACCAGCAGAAUAAGCACCGGCUAACUUCGUG
rnacentral:rRNA from 1 species